GCUUGAGACCGGCGCCUUUCCCAAACUUUCGACUCUUGGUAAUUAUUGUUAAAUUUCCUAUUACUGCUUGAAGAUUGUGGAACUUUCUGACAGUAGUUGGCUAGCAAACACGCGCAACGCCGCCCGCCGGUACUUAUUGAUCCGCGAAUUAUUGGGAGCUGCACGCUGCACCGCAGUUGAUUUAGUACAGUUGCAGUUGAAGUGUUUUUCGUAAUUACGAAAAUGCAUAGGAAGAGUGUCUCAACAGUUUUGUUUGUUUUACUAUUGUGCUUUGGAAAUUUUGGUUUAGUUCGUAUGACUCCACCAAUUCACCAAUCGAAUUUAGUACGGCAGGAUGAACCACCUUCGAUCGAAUAUAAAUACAUCGUCAAAAAUAUUCUUCCCGCUGAAAGUCACUGGUGGAGAAGAGGAACCCACAGAUACCUCGUGGAUAAUAGUCAGGUCCAAGUUGUUCUAGCGAGAUGACCAGAAAAUUUAUGGGUAGUUUGAUAUCCAUAAUUAACAAUUUAAAUCAAUGUGACUGAAUAUCUAUUUGACGUAUUUAUUAGAUAAAAAUAAUAAACUUAAAGAUAAAACCCAUAACUAAAUUAAAAUUCAUGGUGACGUUUCAAUUAUUAUUUUAAUCAUCGUCAGAAUGAUAAGUUUCUUGAGCGGAUGCUUUAAAAUAAUUUUAAAGGAACAAACAAUAAUUAACGAAAACGUAAAAAAUGACAUUGACAAUCAUUGGGUUAAGUCAAUAAUUUCAAACACGCCACGUUCUGUUGCGUGCUUAAGGGUGGCUUCAAAAGAAAUAUGGAUAAUGCCUCCUUGAUGCUGAGUUCCGUUGGAGAACUUGCAUGACCAAUGAUUGAGAAGUCCUUACGACUAAUAGGGUGGUCAGAAUCAGUCAUAUGUUGGAAUACCGCUGAAUUUGGAACUGUUCUUGAUCGUCUUCCUAAGUGAGGAGUGACACCUAAGUGUUCGUAACAUCUGACAUUAAAGUGACGUCGAGUCUUCCCGACGUACGUAGCUGCACAGCUACUACAUUUGAAUUGGUAUAUAUAAUGUUAGAUGCGAGAUCACUAGGAAUUAUUGAUCACAAUUAUUGACUUAACCCAAUGAUUGUCAAUGUCAUUUUUUACGUUUUCAUUAAUUAUUGUUUGUUCCUUUAAAAUUAUUUUAAAGCAUCCGCUCAAGAAACUUAUCAUUCUGACGAUGAUUAAAGUAAUAAUUGAAACGUCACCAUGAAUUUUAAUUUAGUUAUGGGUUUUAUCUUUAAGUUUAUUAUUUUUAUCAAGUUUAAUGGUGUGUCCUUAUCUACAUAUAUUUAUUAGAUGUAAUCACGUAUAAAUGUUUAUUUGUUAAAUGUUAAAUUUAGGUAAUGGUGUCCAAAGAAUUACAAUAAUUAUUUCUAAUUUGCUUAUGACUUAAGACUGGAUAGAUUCAUUAACGAGAUAGUAUUUAUUAGGUAAUUAUUAUUGAAAAUAAAUUAUUAGAUAUUUAUUUUGUAA